rnacentral:rRNA from 1 species
UAUGGGUUUUCCCUAGGUGAACCUGCGGAAGGAUCAUUG